CCCUUAGAUGUUCUGGGCCGCACGCGCGCUACACUGACGAUGUCAACGAGUCUCUCCUUGGCCGAAAGGUCUGGGUAAUCUUCUGAAACAUCGUCGUGCUGGGGAUAGAUCAUUGCAAUUUUUGAUCUUGAACGAGGAAUUCCUAGUAAGCGCGAGUCAUCAGCUCGCGUUGAUUACGUCCCUGCCCUUUGUACACACCGCCCGUCGCUACUACCGAUUGAAUGGUUUAGUGAGGACUCCUGAUUGGCGCCGCCGCCCCGGCAACGGAGCAGUGGACUGCCGAAAAGUUGUUCAAACUUGAUCAUUUAGAGGAAGUAAACGUCGUAACA
rnacentral:rRNA from 1 species